UGAAAUUAAUAAACUUAUUUAUUGUGGGUUGAAAACCCUAUGUGCUCACCAGGCUCCCAAGCCUGACCCACUCAGUUUUAUGUAUUACAGGUAGUGGCGCAUGAGCAUAGGUGUGAUGUUUUGGACGAGGGAUUACGGAUAUAGGCCUGUAGAUAUGAAAUAAUGUAGUAAGGCUUAUAUUGUACUGUUUAUGCUUUUGAUCUGUACGAACAUGACAUCCCGAGUCUUUUAAUGAAAUACAUUUCUAUGGAAAUGCUUUUGAUAAAUCUUUAUCAUAUUUUUGUUUUGGGACAAAUUCCGCAACACUUUCAUUUAAAAUGUAACUCUGAUUUUUAAACAAAGCAUAAACAAACCGGUCUUUUCUGGCCGUGAUUUUGGGGAUGUCACAGUUGGUAUCAGAGCAUUAGUUUAAGCGAACUAGGAAUUUGUAGGAUUUCUAGACUUAAACUUAGAAUGCUAAGCGAUGAUUGUGAGGUGUGAGCACUAGCUUAUUUUAGGAAUUGUGCCUAAAAUGCUUUUAUGUGCUAAAUGCUUUGUGCAUAAUAUGCUGUUAAUUGUUCGGAUCUAUGGUCUGUUGCCGACCGGAUCUGGAAACCUUAUGUGUUUAGGAUUCUAAACGUACGACUACGAUAUUAGAACUAGCAUGUAAACGUUUCGGAGUGAUAAGGACGAUUUAAAACGUCUAUCCUAAAUAAAGAUCUAAAUUCACCUUAUUCGGUGUAUAGAUCAAGAUGGCAAGGACCCGUAGCGGAAACGUGAACGCAAAUGGAGGUAGGAACCAACCCCCAGUGGUUCAGCAAAUACCUGUUGUUGAAGAAGUUGCACCUGAGCCAGUCACCAUGGCUGGAGUUCAAGCCAUGAUUCAGGCUAUGCUAGCUGAACAAAGGGAAGAAAUGAGACGGAUGCUCCACGAAAAUAGGGACGAACCUACCAUACAUGUUGAACCGACGGAGCCAGUUCCCGAGCCAUCUGAGGAAGGGAACUAUAGCCGCCAAGUGAGUCAAGUAGGGACUCAAGGUGAGCAAAAGGAUGGCCCAGAAGGGAGAAACAACAAGGAUGGGCGGAUGUACAAAAAUUUCUUGGGUGCGAAACCACCAAGUCUCUCAGGAAGCCCAAAGCCUGUUGAGAUUAUGGACUGGAUCUCCGAGAUGGAGAUGGUGUUUGAGAGCUGCGACUGCAGCGAGAAGCAGAAGACUGUCUUCGCUGUGAGACAAUUGAAAACUGGAGUCUUGAGCUGGUGGAAGCUAUUGGCAGAUACAAUGCCACGGGGAGAAGCUCUGAAAAUGUCAUGGGAUGAGUUCUUGGAACAACUGAAGGCGCAGUACUGUUCAGAGAUAGACCUGAUUGAUCUGAACAAUGAGUUCCAAAAUUUGAAGAAGGGGAGAAUGAGCAUCGAUGACUAUGCUGCUGCAUUUACGGAAAAGAUGAAGUUGUUUCCAUACCUAGUGCCAACCGAACUUUCCAAAAUUGAGAAAUUCGCAAACGGACUGCCGGCUGACUUUGGCCCAACAGUCAAGAUGGCAACCACUCUGAAAUCAGCUGUUCGAGCAGCUAAGAACGUGGAGACCCAACAAAAGGAAAGAGGUCUGGAGAGGGCUGAGGUUGGUGAGAAACGGAAGUUCAAUGGAUCCUCGAAGUCCAACAAGAAGAGUAGAUUCUCGAAGUCUGGUUCGAGGGGAGGAGGAUCAGAAGCGAAGUGGUGUGACAAGUGCAAGAAGAAGCACUCUGGGAAGUGUGACGGAGGGGUCACUUGUUACAAGUGCGGAAAGCCUGGGCACUACGCCAAUGAAUGCACCCUCAACCAGAAAGCCUGUUAUGGGUGCAAUGAAGAAGGGCACAUUUUGAAGGACUGCCCGAAGAAGAAGGAGACAGGAAGACCCAACAUACCACCGAAGCCGAAGGCGAGAGCCUUCCAGAUGACGCUCGAGGCUGCAAAGGAGGCAGCAGACGUCGCUUCAGGUACCUUUCUUGUAAAUGGUUUGCCUGCAAAUAUACUAUUUGAUUCCGGAGCCAACUACUCCUUUGUGUCGCAUAAAUUUGGUGGGAAAUUAGCAUUGCCUGUAGAAAAACUAGAUAAUGCCCUGAUUGUAGAAGUUGCCAGUGGCAAAUUCGUACCUGUUAGUAAUCGUAUUAGGAACAUCGUCAUUGACCUAAACGGAAACGAAUUCCACGAAGAGCUAUUACCCAUAGAGUUAAACGGUUUCGACAUCGUUUUGGGUAUGGAUUGGCUUAGCGCCAACGAUGCUGAGAUUCAAUGCCGAAAGAAGAUAGUAAAGGUAAACCCACCCGGAAAAGAAUCAUUUAUGGUGUAUGGGGACAAACGCAGAGUGAAUUCUGGAAUCAUCUCCCUGAUGAAAGCCAGGAAAUGUUUGUCCAAAGGAUGUGCAUCAUACUUGGCAUUCGUAAUCGAUGCCAAGAAGGAGAAGAAAGAGGUGCAGAAUAUACCGGUUGUGUGUGAUUAUCCGGAAGUCUUUCCCGAAGAUCUUCCCGGAUUACCACCUGAUAGGCAAGUGGAGUUUCGUAUAGACUUGUUACCAGGAACAACACCGAUAGCAAAGGCACCUUACCGAUUAGCACCGACGGAGAUGAAGGAGCUCAUGACGCAACUUCAGGAGCUGUUGGACAACGGUUUUAUUCGACCUAGUUCAUCACCCUGGGGAGCUCCGGUGUUAUUCGUGAAGAAGAAGGACGGAAGUAUGAGAAUGUGUAUAGACUACCGAGAGCUGAAUAAGGCAACGGUGAAGAACAAGUAUCCAUUGCCGAGGAUUGAUGACCUAUUCGAUCAGCUGCAAGGUUCGAGCUACUUCUCAAAGAUCGAUCUUAGGUCAGGAUAUCAUCAGCUAAAGGUGAGAAAGCAGGAUAUUGAGAAGACUGCAUUCAGAACGAGAUAUGGACACUACGAGUUCUUGGUUAUGUCAUUCGGGCUAACCAAUGCUCCCGCAGCAUUCAUGGAUUUGAUGAAUAGGGUUUGUAAACCAUUCCUCGAUAAAUCCGUGAUAGUGUUCAUCGACGACAUUCUCAUCUACUCGAAAAGCCAAGAGGAGCAUGGCAAGCAUCUACGGGAAGUAUUAGAAGUGUUGAAGAAGGAGAAGCUUUUUGCAAAGUUCUCCAAAUGCGACUUUUGGAUACGGGAAGUCCAAUUCUUGGGUCAUGUUGUUAACCAGGAGGGAAUAAUGGUUGACCCCGCAAAGAUCGAGGCUGUAAUGAAGUGGGAACGUCCAAAGAGUCCCACGGAGAUUCGAAGCUUUCUAGGAUUAGCCGGAUAUUAUCGACGAUUUAUCCAAGGCUUUUCUUCGAUAGCUGCUCCAUUAACAGCUUUGACUCAUAAAGGAGCUACGUAUACGUGGAGUGAGAAACACGAUGAGGCAUUCGAGAAGCUAAAGAAGAAGUUAUGUGAAGCACCGAUACUUUCUCUACCCGAUGGAGUCGAAGAUUUCGCGGUUUAUAGUGACGCUUCUGGAGUCGGGUUGGGUUGUGUUCUGACCCAAAGAGAAAAGGUGAUAGCAUACGCAUCUCGACAAUUGAAAGAGCACGAAAAGAACUACCCCACUCAUGAUCUGGAGUUGGCAGCGGUAGUUUUUGCCUUAAAGAUAUGGAGGCAUUACCUCUACGGCACGAAGUGCAAGCUCUUCACUGAUCAUAAGAGUCUCCAGUAUCUCUUUAAUCAGAAGGAGUUGAACAUGAGGCAACGACGCUGGCUAGAACUUCUCAAGGACUACGACUGUGAGAUACUUUACCACCCAGGUAAAGCAAAUAUUGUUGCUGAUGCUCUCAGUCGGAAAGUCAAUCUGGAAAGGAAAAGGCCAAGAGCGUUAAGAAUUGAAGUCGUCUCGACGAUUGUGGAAAGUAUCAGGAAAGCUCAAGAAGAAGCUUUAGAGAAAAAUGACCGAAAGGAAGAACGUUUGGGAAGAACGUUAGUGUUCGGUACAAACAGUCGAGGACUGAAGGUAUUCCAAGAUCGAAUUUGGGUACCUAAGACGGGAGGAAUAAGAGAUCUUCUGAUGGAAGAAGCACACAAGACCAUGUACUCGAUUCAUCCCGGUAGCACUAAAAUGUAUAGGGACCUAAAACCCUACUACUGGUGGCCGACGAUGAAGCUCGAUGUUGCGAAGUAUGUGGCCGAGUGCGUAACAUGUGCGAGGGUUAAGGCACAACAUCAGAAACCGUAUGGGAGUUUAGAACCUUUACCUGUACCCAUGGGUAAAUGGGAAGACAUCACCAUGGAUUUUGUGACUAAACUGCCCAGGACGAAGAACGGUCACGACAUGAUUUGGGUAGUCGUGGAUCGUUUCACCAAGAGUGCACACUUCAUAGCAGCCAACGAGAAGUGGUCUAUGGAUAAGCUCGCAAAUGCUUACGUGAAGGAAAUUGUAAGACUUCACGGUGUCCCUCUUACGAUUGUAUCAGAUCGUGAUAGUCGUUUCACGUCAAGGUUUUGGAGGAGUCUACAAGAGGAGUUAGGUACAAAGUUGUGUUUGAGUACUGCUUAUCAUCCGCAAACUGAUGGUCAGAGCGAAAGAACGAUUCAGACGCUGGAAGAUAUGCUGAGAGCAUGUACCCUCGAAUUCCAAGGGAAUUGGGACGAGCACUUACCUCUGGUAGAAUUUUCCUACAACAAUAGUUUUCACUCGAGCAUCAAGAUGGCUCCUUAUCAAGCCUUGUAUGGGCAGAAGUGUCGUACGCCGUCUUGUUGGCUUGAAGCCGGAGAGAAGCAGUUUAUGGGCCCCGAGAUAGUCCAUGAGACUGCUGAGAAGUUGAAGGUGAUUAGGGAAAGGAUGUUAGCAGCCCAGGAUCGUCAGAAGAGCUAUGCUGACAAGAAAAGACGACCGAUAACUUUCGAAGUUGGGGAUUCCGUUUUGCUUAAAGUCUCACCGUGGAAGGGACUUAUACGAUUUGGGAAACGAGGAAAGUUGAGUCCAAGGUUUAUUGGACCGUUCAAAGUUCUUCAGAAGAUAGGGAACCAAGCUUACAAGCUGGAAUUGCCCGAAGAACUCAAUGGUAUUCAUAACACCUUCCAUGUGUGUUAUUUGAGGAAAUUCACGGGAGAUGUUCCCGACAUAAUUCCAAUCUCAGAGUUAAGGAUGGAUGAAAAUAAAAGGUUGAUCGAAGAGCCUGAGGCAAUUGUUGACCGUAAGACUAAGAAGUUACGACGCAAGAUGGUCGACUUGGUGCUAGUCCGAUGGAAACAUUCGAAUGGGCCGAAUCUCACUUGGGAAACAGAGGAUGACAUGAUGAGUCGCUAUCCACAUCUGUUUGCUGAUGCAUGAUUCCGGGACGGAAUCAUCCUAAGGGGGAGAGAAUUGUAACGCCCGGGUUUCAGGGCUAAGCAUUUUUGUCAAUGUAAUAGUCUAGGUCAACUCUUGUAACUCUUUUUGAAGUAAUAAAGAUGAAAUAUUUGAGUAUUAUGUGAAUUAUAUGUGUUUAUUAUUUAAUUAUAAAUGUAUAAUUAAUAAAGAAUAAAAAUGAGCGUCAAAAUUAAAGUGUGAGAUAAUCCCGAUAUCUCUACAUAAAGUUGUAGAAUAUGUCUCAAGGUUUCCGUGCAUAUAAGGAACGCCGAAAUCCGAGUUAUAACGAAGAAGUUAUGACCCGUCGAAGUUUCACGACAGAACCGGCACGAUACCGGGAAGCGUGAAUAGUGAAUUUACGAUAGAGCGAGAUUUAGCCUUAGUGAUCUAAACGAAAGUCGUAGAAUAUGUUAAACUAAGAACAUCGAUAAAAAGAACGCCCAAAUCUGACUUCGUAUGAAGAAGUUAUGAGAUUUUAAACAGACCAAUCCUGUCCCGGCUUGUUAAAAAUAUAACUUUAAAAAUAAAGUCAAAAUUAGCCGACGGAGUCUAAACGAAAGUUGUAGAGUACGUCUUCACCUACGCGUGGAUAUAAAGAACGUCAAAAACGGAGUUCGUAUGAACGAGUUACAAAUUAUAAUAGCAUAUUUACGUAUUAAAAUAAAGUAUAAAUCAUGUAUACGUACACAUAUAUAUACAUAUGUAUAUAUCAUUAGAAAGGUAUCGACGAUGCGGUCAUUAUAAGACUAAUGUUGAGUUCUUUCGACAUUAGUUUAGUACAAAUAUCAUUAAAUCCAUUUAUAAUAGUAUUAUAGAGGGGUGUUUAGUUGUUUAUAUAACUAAAAGGUCAUUAAGUAAUUAUGGAGGGUAGUUUUUGAAAAUUCAAUUAGUAUAAAUAAGAGCCUUGGGCUCUCAUAUUUCUUGCACCAUUCUCUUGAUUCAAGAGUCUUUCUCUCCUUAUCCCCCGAGCAUUUCGGUCCCUCGUGAUUCGACUUCUCUUUCUGUAGCUUAGUAUAGUAAGGUGAGCGCUGAAGCGCUGCACGAAUCUUUCUUAGAAAGAUUCAGCGACGAAGUUCUGCCCCUGCAGAGCCCGACUCCUAGCUAAAACCCCCUUGUAAGUAAGUUAUGCUUACCUUAUUUUAAUAUAGCUUAUAUUUAAAAUUAGUAUUGUUAUUAUGAACUUAUAAUAAAUAUUUGAGCUAUUAUUAUAACUUAUAUAAGUGUCGUUAUAAAUUUUUUUUUAACUACUCGCGGUACGGGGAAUCUGGUUUAAAGGGCCGCAUAGGGUUGUUGGAUUUCAGAAGUGCUAUAUGCCAAAAUGGUCCUGCCCUCCGGUGUUUUAUGUCUGGCCCCUGUCUGUACAUAGUGGUUGGAAAAUAUUGUUUAACGCUUAUAUAAUAAUAAUAAUACUAAGACUAAUAGUUGGUCACGGUAAAUAUUAGACUAAAAUUUAGCGAUAAUAAUGCUAGGUUUCGUCGAAGGAAAAUAGAAUCGUUAGAAGCAAGCGCUGCCCGAUUUUGGAAUCAUCACCUUAACAAGUGAGUGCAUAGUUACUUUCAACUUACACAUAGAUAUGAAGUAUUUUAUAUAAAUUACGUGCUAUGUGUGCAUAUUAUCUGAAUACUUGCUAUCUAUGCUAGAUGAACGUUGUUAUACAUGUUUUCAAUGAUUUAAACUGUAUAUGUAUUUUAUAUCUACGAAAAUGUUGGGGUAAAACAUGGGUAGAUGUAAUAGGUGAUGUGUGAUAAAAUGAUGAGAGGCCUCGAUGUUGAUGUUGUUGAUUCUGUCAUCUAGCGGAGUAUGGAUGACGACCACGGACUCUUCUAGACAGUCCAGUGGAACACUAGCAGGCUCGCAACCUGUAGGUGUUUGUGAACGAUGUGUUCACCGGUGUACUCCAUCCCCCACAUGGUGCCCAUUAGGACAUUUAUUGCUGAGGAAUCCCCUUAGCAGUAGUGUCCGUCCCGAUGAUGAUCCUUAGGCUAGGUCCCUUAUGAUGGGUGUUUAGGGACGUAAGGUGAGGAUAACGGGAACGGGUAAUCGGGUUAUUGUUGAUUGAUGAAAUUAAUAAACUUAUUUAUUGUGGGUUGAAAACCCUAUGUGCUCACCAGGCUCCCAAGCCUGACCCACUCAGUUUUAUGUAUUACAGGUAGUGGCGCAUGAGCAUAGGUGUGAUGUUUUGGACGAGGGAUUACGGAUAUAGGCCUGUAGAUAUGAAAUAAUGUAGUAAGGCUUAUAUUGUACUGUUUAUACUUUUGAUCUGUACGAACAUGACAUCCCGAGUCUUUUAAUGAAAUAUAUUUCUAUGGAAAUGCUUUUGAUAAAUCUUUAUCAUAUUAUUGUUUUGGGACAAAUUCCGCAACCCUUUUAUUAAAAGAUAACUCUGAUUUUGAAAUAAAGUAUAAACAAAAACCGGUCUUUUCAUCCCGUGAUUUUGGGGAUGUCA
rnacentral:lncRNA from 1 species